UACGGAGGGUGCGAGCGUUGUCCGGAAUCAUUGGGCGUAAAGGCGCGUAGGUGGCCCGGUCAGUUCGUGGUGAAAGCGCGGGCUCAACCCUGCGUCGGCCAUGAAUACUGCCGCGGCUGGAGCACUGUAGAGGCAGGCGGAAUCCGGGUGUAGCGGUGGAAUGCGUAGAGAUCCGGAAGAACACCGGUGGCGAAGGCGGCCUGCUGGGCAGUUGCUGGACACUGAUGCGCGACAGCGUGGGGAGCAAACAGG
rnacentral:rRNA from 1 species